rnacentral:lncRNA from 1 species
CCCAACAAUGGCCUGAAGUUGAGGUGAAACUCCACAAACUUUGUUUAGACCCCCAGGGCCACCUCUUCUUUUGGUUCCAACAGGAGCACUGCAAUAGAAGUUUCGGAUAAACAUGUUAUCUCACCCCCACAACAUAAAUUGCCUUUAUAUCAGGCAGUUCCAAAAGAGUAGAUAGCAGAUAUAAGAGUAAGGAAAAAAUCAUCCAGUGAAUAGGGCUAGACAGACUAUUAAGUCACCAACAAUAAAUGCCAAUCUGCACAUUAAUCCUCGGCUGAAAUUCACCCAAAAUAGAAUUCAAACUGCCAAGAAAUAUUAAAAUGCAAAAUUGCAAGUCUAGAUAACAUUUUCAACCGUGAGUACCAUCAGUUUACAAUAUAGUUGACUGGUCAUUCACCGGUACAGGAGAAAAAGAGAAAUAUAAACGUGCCCAGAAAAAAAGUGAAAGUGAAAAAGCAAAAAACUUCUUUUCUUCAACCUUUCACGUCUGACCAUGGCUAAGUGCCCAAGUCAAAAUGUCUCAAAAAGCUUGAUUGGUACCACAACCAUAUGGAGCCUCAGUUUUAUUCUACUUCCUUUCCUUUGAAUGAAUAUAGCACCAAAAACUGUUCAUAACUGUAUAGUCUAAGCUGUUUUCCAGUAAGCGCACGAAAGUUUGAGUUUUAUUCUACAAAUGGGUAAUUCCCACUAGUGUGAGGAAAUGCAAAAGAUAAAAACUUCCCCAAAAGGAAUGCUUGAAUAAUCUAUAAGCACAGGUUCUUUCUCAAGAAAUGGAUAGAAAAAUGAGGUAAAAACUAAUUAUUUUCAAAAACGUUUCAUGUUUCCGACUGCAGUAAACUAGAGGAAAGCAACCGUUCUUACAUGUGGAAAAAUGGAAAUUGUUCAUAACUAAGACCUGCAGGUUAUCCAUAAAUGAUAAUACUUCUCCAAAGCAAGCCCUAACCUGGACCAUUUUGGAUAAGUAAAACAGCUUCCUUUCACAUGUAAUUUCCCCCAGAAAAACCAUCAGUACCAUUUUAUUGUAGCAAACACAGUCCUUCAGAAACCCUAACUUGGAACACAUGAGGAAGAAUAAAAACCCUAACCCCACCAAAUCAACAUAACUAAAACCCUAGGCAAAUAACCACUUUUUUCCUUCGGAAGACCCAAACCAUUUCCAGCACCAAAAAAGAAGGGCAAAACCAAAACGUAUAAACUUUCAGAUAACGAAAAAGAGAGAACCUUUCUUUGGGCACUUCACGAGAAACAGCGGCCACGGCGCCUUGAGGAAAAAGGGUCUCUUGCUUCGCUACCGGAGCUUGCUGGGGGAGCUGUUGCUGAACCGGCUGAGCCUGGGGCUGUGGAGGAGGAUGCGUCGCCGGCUGGGUCUGCGGCUGCCGGAAGUUGAGGUCCUGCGGAUGAUGGUAGGGUUGGUGGAGAGUGAAAUGGGGAGGGAAUUGGUGAGGCUGAGGAGGGAAUUGGGGGUGGUGAUAGAGGGCAAAAUGGUCCUUGGGCGAGACAUGGAGCUGGGACUGGGUUUGGGUCUGGGUCUGGGUCUGGUUCUGGGUCUGGGUCUGUGGUUGCUGUUGCGGAGGCUGGGGCUGGGGCGGGGGCUGGGGCUGAGGCUGAGGCUGGGGCUGGGGCUGGGG